UAAGACUGGCUGAUGACGUUCUCACAG
rnacentral:piRNA from 1 species